rnacentral:rRNA from 1 species
GACGUAGGGCGCGAGCGUUGUCCGGAUUUAUUGGGCGUAAAGAGCUCGUAGGCGGCUUGUUGCGUCGACUGUGAAAACCCGAGGCUCAACCUCGGGCCUGCAGUCGAUACGGGCAGACUAGAGUAUGGCAGGGGAGACUGGAAUUCCUGGUGUAGCGGUGAAAUGCGCAGAUAUCAGGAGGAACACCGGUGGCGAAGGCGGGAUCCUGGGCCAGUACUGACGCUGAGGAGCGAAAGCGUGGGGAGCAAACAGG